AACCAAUCACGUGGUUUGAGCCUCAGCGGUAGAAGCCGAGCGUCUGUGGAGGAUUUUAUUGUUACUCCCUCGCUCCCUUCGCCCCCAUCUUUUCCAGUUUGGGAACCUGUCCAGCCUGCUAAUUUAGGAGGUGGCCGCCAGGGUUCAAACCACUGUUCUCAAACUUGACUGUAUAUCGAGGAUGCCUGGAGCCCUCGUUUGAAAAAAAAAAAAAAGAAUGCAGACUCCAGGCUUCUCUCAUGGAGAGUUUGGGCUUCCUCGCAACAUGGCGGCCUCAGGACAGCCAGACUACAAUGCUUCCGUGGGAGCUGAAGACUUUCCGGACCAGUAUUCCGGCUAACAACCCGGAAGCUGCAUGGUGUUCUGAGAUCUGGCCUCAGAAGCUAGUGAGCCCUGUGAGCCAUGAAUCACCAUGGAGCUCUCACUGCAGGGAAUUCUGUGCUGGUCAGGCGGACAGAAAUGCCCCGUCCUGCUGCCAGUUGGAUUUCCUGUGCUCUCCCUUAAUAAAUGGAUCUUCUGUUUGUGCAUCAGCCUUACACAUUUGGCUAAAGGGGAUCUGCCUCUGCCUUGUGUGUAGGCAUACCCCAAACCGUGAUGGGUUCACCAAGGUCUCCUCCUGGCAUCUGUCCUUGUGGCCAGCACCCCUCCCAGUGCAGCAGCCUGCAUCUCCUCAUGAACCUCCUAAAAGCCACCAGAGAGAUUACAGUCCCAUUUUAUAGAUGAGACAACUGAGGCACAGAGAGUAGGUGUGUCUUGUACAAGGUCAGCCAGCUGGUAAAUUGCAGUCUGGAUGAAAACCCAGGUGUUCCUGGAGCCAAAGCUGGCACUUCAUACAAAUUCUGAGAUCCCCAAAUGCUCUAAAAGCCACUUGAUGUGAAUUGAAAGUGAGGUUCUUUAUAGUCUUUAUUUUACCCGACUUGGUGUGACUAUUUAUACAUUUGCUGUGGAAAAAUUAACGUGUUUAUGGAGUACUGUCCCAGAGUUCGCUGGGCAUGUUACAUACAUACAAUGUGGUAGAGCUAUCAUAAAACCUUCUGAAAUCCAAAGUUGUAAAACACAUUGAGCCCCAAACUUCUUCUCAGCAACCUGCCCGCAUUUUACAGAUA